GUGGGGCGGAGGGAGGAGAGGGAGGCAGGUGUGCAGGGGUAGACGUGGAGGCGCCAGCGGAGGAGCGCGGGGGCUGCGGGGCUGCGCCGGGAAAAGGCUGAGACACAUCCUCCUCUGCUGGGAACAGCAUACAGAAAAGAUGGUGCCACCAGAAGCAGUUUGUUCAGUGACUGGCAGGACUUGGUUGAAAAAUUUCCUGCUCGUGAUUGUAACGAUUAUAAAUAAAUUUUAAGUGGUAAA